rnacentral:rRNA from 1 species
UGAAUACGAGACGCUAAGGCGUUGAAGUAGUGUAUAUCAUACUUCCAAGAAAAGCUUGCACUGUCAUAGAUAAAAAACGCCUGUACCAUAACCGACACAGGUGGGUAGGUAGAGUAUACUAAGGGGCGCGAGAUAACUCUCUCUAAGGAACUCGGCAAAAUAACUCCGUAACUUCGGGAGAAGGAGUGCCUUAUUUAUAAGGUUGCAAUAACAAGAUCCAAGCAACUGUUUAUCAAAAACACAGGUCUCCGCUAAGUCGUAAGACGAUGUAUGGGGGCUGACGCCUGCCCAGUGCCAGAAGGUUAAAGAAGUUGGUUAGCAAUAGCGAAGCUGAUAACUGAAGCCCUGGUGAACGGCGGCCGUAACAAUAACGGUCCUAAGGUAGCGAAAUUCCUUGUCGGGUAAGUUCCGACCCGCACGAAAGGCGUAAUGAUUUGGAUACUGUCUCGGAGAGGGGCUCGGUGAAAUAGACUUGUCUGUGAAGAUGCGGACUACCUGCACCAGGACAGAAAGACCCUAUGAAGCUUUACUGUAACUUGAAAUUGAAAUUGGACUUUAUUCGCGCAGUAUAGGUGGGAGGCGUUGAUUGUAAUCUUGCGGGAUUAUUGGAGCCAUCAGUGAGAUACCACCCUUGUAAUGUUAGAUUUCUAACUUUGAAUCAUUAUCUGGUCAAAGAACAGUUUCAGGCGGGCAGUUUGACUGGGGCGGUCGCCUCCUAAACGGUAACGGAGGCGUACAAAGGUUUCCUCUGAACGGUUAGAAAUCGUAUCUAGAGUGUAAAGGCAUAAGGAAGCUUGACUGUGAGACCUACAAGUCGAGCAGGGACGAAAGUCGGUCUUAGUGAUCUGACGGUACUGAGUGGAAAGGCCGUCACUCAACGGAUAAAAGUUACUCUAGGAUAACAGGCUGAUCUCCCCCAAGAGUUCACAUCGACGGGGAGGUUUGGCACCUUGAUGUCGGCUCAUCGCAUCCUGGGGCGGUAGUACGUCCCAAGGGUUGGGCUGUUCGCCCAUGAAAGCGGUACGCGAGCUGGGUUCAGAACGUCGUGAGACAGUUCGGUCCAUAUCCGGUGUAGGCGUUAGAAUAUUGAGAGGAGCCUUCUUUAGUACGAGAGGACCGAGAAGGACAUACCUCUGGUGUACCAGUUAUCGUGCCAACGGUAAACGCUGGGUAGCUAUGUAUGGAGUGGAUAACCGCUGAAAGCAUCUAAGUGGGAAGCCCACCUCAAGAUAAGUAUUCUCAU